rnacentral:RNase_P_RNA from 1 species
GGAGUUGGCUAAGCAGUCGCUCUGUGUAACGAAGUCUGACUUCGCUGCAUAGGGAGGAAAGUCCGGGCUCCAUAGGGCAGGGUGCCAGGUAACGCCUGGGCAGUUAACGCUGACGGAAAGUGCCACAGAAAAUAUACCGCUCUUUAAAUUGCCUUCGGAUAAUUUUGGAGUAAGGGUGAAAUGGUGCGGUAAGAGCGCACCGCGGUGCUGGCAACAGCAUUGGCAGGGUAAACCCCACCUGGAGCAAGACCGAAUAGGGAUCCUUUGCAUGGCCCAUGUUGGAUCCGGGUAGGUUGCUAGAGGUGUUUGGUGACAAACAUCCCAGAUGAAUGACUGUUCUCGACAGAACCCGGCUUAUCGGCCAACUCCCACU